UACGAAGGGGGCUAGCGUUGCUCGGAAUCACUGGGCGUAAAGGGUGCGUAGGCGGGUCUUUUAAGUCAGGGGUGAAAUCCUGGAGCUCAACUCAGAACUGCCUUUGAUACUGAGGAUCUUGAGUUCGGGAGAGGUGAGUGGAACUGCGAGUGUAGAGGUGAAAUUCGUAGAUAUUCGCAAGAACACCAGUGGCGAAGGCGGCUCACUGGCCCGAUACUGACGCUGAGGCACGAAAGCGUGGGGAGCAAACAGG
rnacentral:rRNA from 1 species